AGCAAGGGAACAAAGAGAAAAAGAGAAGAACAAAUCCUAGGAAGGAAAAAUUUAAGAGAAAUUGUUGGAUUUCAAGGAAUCAAGCAAGUAAAGGUAAGAUUUUUUAAUUUUAGCUUGUGAUCUACCUUUCCCAUGCAUUCUUUUUCAUUCUCCAAAGCUGAAAUUCAAGUUUUCAAGAGGGAACCUUUGUUGGCCAAAUCUAGAGAGAGAAGUUUUGGUGAUGAAUUUUGCUAGAUUUCAUAAUAUCCUAGUGUUUUUAGUCAUUUUGUGAUGUUUGGAAGAAAAAACGAGCAAGAAAAUCACAUGUUCUUCAACCACCCUCAUUUGGCCGAAUUUUCUAUAGGGCAUGUUGAUGAUGGAUUUGGUUGUAAUUCAUGUUAUUUAGCUAGGAAUUGAUGAAUUAUGAUGU
rnacentral:lncRNA from 1 species